rnacentral:rRNA from 1 species
AUUGAACGCUGGCGGCAUGCCUUACACAUGCAAGUCGAGCGGCAGCACGGGUGCUUGCACCUGGUGGCGAGUGGCGAACGGGUGAGUAAUACAUCGGAACAUGUCCUGUAGUGGGGGAUAGCCCGGCGAAAGCCGGAUUAAUACCGCAUACGAUCUACGGAUGAAUGCGGGGGACCUUCGGGCCUCGCGCUAUAGGGUUGGCCGAUGGCUGAUUAGCUAGUUGGUGGGGUAAAGGCCUACCAAGGCGACGAUCAGUAGCUGGUCUGAGAGGAAGACCAGCCACACUGUGACUGAGACACGGCCCAGACUCCGACGGGGGGCAGCAGUGGGGAAUUUUAGACAAUGGGCGAAAGCCUGAUCCAGCAAUGCCGCGUGUGUGAAGAAGGACUUCGGGUUGUAAAGCACUUUUGUCCGGAAAGAAAUCCUUGGCUCUAAUACAGUCGGGGGAUGACGGUACCGGAAGAAUAAGCACCGGCUAACUACGUG